rnacentral:lncRNA from 1 species
GUAGGGUUCGUUGUUAGCCCGGGGUAAAACAACGAGUUGGGUAGUGCACUCGCAAAACUACUGGACUGUAAUCGCUGAUUAUAGUGGAAAUUCCCAAAGGUGUUUGGGGAGUGGAUGUAGGAGCAGUGGAAGCUCCGAACCACUAUAAAUCUUUGUGUUUGCGAUUGACUGUGCUUAUAACUCUAUCUUUACUUUAGCACAUACACUUGUGUGUUUUGUUUUUAAUUAGACAAAAAGUUUUAAAACACCCAAUUCACCCCCCUCUUGGGUGACCAUCUCUGGGCAACA